AGUGAACGCUGGCGGUAGGCCUAACACAUGCAAGUCGAACGGCAGCACAGUAAGAGCUUGCUCUUACGGGUGGCGGGUGGCGGACGGGUGAGGAAUACAUCGGAAUCUACUUUUUCGUGGGGGAUAACGUAGGGAAACUUACGCUAAUACCGCAUACGACCUACGGGUGAAAGCAGGGGAUCUUCGGACCUUGCGCGAUUGAAUGAGCCGAUGUCGGAUUAGCUAGUUGGCGGGGUAAAGGCCCACCAAGGCGACGAUCCGUAGCUGGUCUGAGAGGAUGAUCAGCCACACUGGAACUGAGGCACGGUCCAGACUCCUACGGGAGGCAGCAGUGGGGAAUAUUGGACAAUGGGCGCAAGCCUGAUCCAGCCAUACCGCGUGGGUGAAGAAGGCCUUCGGGUUGUAAAGCCCUUUUGUUGGGAAAGAAAAGCAGCAGGUUAAUACCCCGCUGUUCUGACGGUACCCAAAGAAUAAGCACCGGCUAACUUCGUG
rnacentral:rRNA from 1 species